GGACAGAGAGAGCACCAUGUAGCUAGGAUGCUCCGGCUGCCUGGCUUUAUCUGGCUAAUAAUGAAAGGCAGCAAGCGUGUCAGAGAGUGUGAGAGAAACAGAUCGAUAGAGAGAUAAAACUGAGAUGGAAGGAGCUGGCGAGGGGGUGGGGAAGAGAGUAAUAAAACACUACGAAUCAGCAGGGUUACGUCUGAACUUGAUUUGAAUGCGCUCUGCGCUGGUGUAAGUGAAUACAGCAGGUGUAAGGCUAUGGUGAAUCAGACCUAAAUACAGAAACAGAGAGGGAAAAGUAGGAAGGAGAUACUCCUCUUAUUAAUACUGCCCUGUAACCUGCCUUCACAGCUCUGACCCAACCUUACAAGCCCUGCUUCUCCUUUAAUCCUGAUAUAUGAAGAAGCCCAGGCUUUGCUAGCUCUGAGAAUACAGAUUCAUAGCCUUUCCCUGCUUCCCUGGGCCACCGUGAUCUUCAGCCUGUCCUGAAGACGUGUCUGUUGGGUAAAAUGUGUCUCGGUCACGUUUUACCUGACCGAGUGCAGGAGAUGCUCCUUACCACCUCCUUCACCGAGGACCCGGGGCAGGACAGCUUCUGACAAUGCCCUGAACCGGUGGCUCCGGGGCACUUUUCUAGGAGAGAUGAUUGACUGCGCCCACGCCAACGGAAGCUGACCAGAGAAACCUCUUUGUUCAGCUCCAGAUUUCUGAGCCAAAUGAGACUGAGACAUCCCAAAGCUAAGGGGACAUCAGAGCACGUGAAUGAAAACGUGCUCUACCGGCACAGGACUGAGGGUCUGGGUGCCUUCCCCUGUCAGGGCACCUCUUUGCCUCCCUGGCCCAGGCACUCAGAGGUGUUUGGCUCCUUCUGCCUGGAAUUAGUUUUGAGUGACGUCCACUUAAUUCUAGUGGCAUGGCCACUAGCGUUAGAAGUUCAGUUUUCCACACCGACCACCGCUGUCUGCACUGCUCCCUCCUUCUGUCAGUAGCCUCAGCGUGGAGACCAAGCACUGAAGGGUCUCAGGGACUGAAGGGACCCUGAGAAGGGGUAGGGACAAUACAUGUGGCUGUUCAAAUGAGCUCGGAGCAGCCUCUCACUGGGAGACGCCAUGACCUAACUCCCCAGGGCAGCCACGGGUUGUAUCUUCCAGCUCUACAAUUGCGUUUGGAGCAGUACAGUACCCCAAAGGAGCCUUCUCCACGACUCAGCCACAGCAGCUGCGUGAGAAGAACUGGAGUCAAAGCAAGUGAUGAGAAGAGAGCUGCUGAUACUGAAGCCUGGCAAGGUGCAAGUCAACUGCCUUUAAUACCUGCGAAACUGACCGAGCUGAAGACCGAUUCCCUUGCGGGCAACCACGUGCUGGAGUGCAAACUUACCUUGACAGCGCUAAGAUUUUAACACGCUAAAACUGUGUUGCCUGCACAGACUAUAUUGGGCUCCCAUCAAUUUGUUGCCUCCUUUGCUUUCAGGGAAAAACCUCCCUGACUUCGAAAGAAGCCAGCCAUGAGGAAGUUGGUGCCGGAUUGGAAACUCUUGGCCAAAGAGCUUAAUGCUGCUUAUUGAAAGGAGUGUUUGCGGACUGCGCUCCUCCCAGUCCCCCUCGCAACUCACCUCCACCCUCCACAUGAUUUAUACAAGACAAGAAGAGCGAUGAAGGUUUUUUCCAAAAUGACCCUCACUUUUUAGUCCCAUCGUCAUAAAAACAGCUCUUUCACCUAAAACGGGGAAGCGUGCCCUCGGUGAUGCCUCCUGAUCGCAUUACACUGACUCAUUUGCCCACGAAUUGAUACUUAAAGCAUACCAUAAACAUUUCUAUCCUUG